rnacentral:rRNA from 1 species
UCCCAAACCCCUGUGAACAUACCUAUACGUUGCCUCGGCGGAUCAGCCCGCGCCCCGUAAAAAGGGACGGCCCGCCCGAGGACCCCUAAACUCUGUUUUUAGUGGAACUUCUGAGUAAAACAAACAAAUAAAUCAAAACUUUCAACAACGGAUCUCUUGGUUCUGGCAUCGAUGAAGAACGCAGCAAAAUGCGAUAAGUAAUGUGAAUUGCAGAAUUCAGUGAAUCAUCGAAUCUUUGAACGCACAUUGCGCCCGCCAGUAUUCUGGCGGGCAUGCCUGUUCGAGCGUCAUUUCAACCCUCAAGCUCAGCUUGGUGUUGGGACUCGCGGUAACCCGCGUUCCCCAAAUCGAUUGGCGGUCACGUCGAGCUUCCAUAGCGUAGUAAUCAUACACCUCGUUACUGGUAAUCGUCGCGGCCACGCCGUAAAACCCCAACUUCUGAAUGUUGACCUCGGAUCAGGUAGGAAUACCCGCUGAACUUAAGCAUAUCAAUAAGCGGAGGAA